rnacentral:rRNA from 1 species
UGGGGAAUCUUGCACAAUGGGCGAAAGCCUGAUGCAGCAACGCCGCGUGCGGGAAGAAGGCCCUCGGGUUGUAAACCGCUUUCAGAAGGAACGAAACUGACGGUACUUUCAGAAGAAGGUGCGGCCAACUACGUGCCAGCAGCCGCGGUAAUACGUAGGGACCAAGCGUUGUUCGGAUUUACUGGGCGUAAAGGGCGCGUAGGCGGCAAUUCAAGUCAUCUGUGAAAUCUCCGGGCUUAACUCGGAACGGUCAGAUGAUACUGCUUUGCUAGAGUGCAGAAGGGGCAAUCGGAAUUCUUGGUGUAGCGGUGAAAUGCGUAGAUAUCAAGAGGAACACCUGAGGUGAAGACGGGUUGCUGGGCUGACACUGACGCUGAGGCGCGAAAGCCAGGGGAGCAAACGGGAUUAGAUACCCAAGUAGUCCCUGAGCGGGCUGGCAAGGCGCAU